AAUGACUGUAUAUUGAUAUUCAAUAUACUUAGCUAAUAUAUGCACCCUUUUAUUGUUAACCCUUUGAGCAGCAAUGUGCCCAAGUGCACCCUACUUUGUUAUGUUGCACUUAACUAACACCAGACAUUUUACUUUGUGAAAUGCCAGACAAUUUUACUCCUCAAGAGCAGUGUCCUGCUCACUAAUGGUUAUCCAAACUAUCUGCCAAUGUGCCUUGAUAACCCAUUAGGCCGAAAUGCACCCAAAUGGACCCGCCUUUGUUAUUUUACUCUGUCAAACGCCGGACAAUUUUAGUCAUCAAGAAGAGAGUCCUGCGUGCUAGUGGGUUAAAUGACUUAAUUACAUAUGUUAUAUAUAAACUUAAGCUGUUACAUUGUCCCAUUGUAUAUUAUUUUUUUACUUAUCUUGACACAGGCUUGUAUGUUGGAUUGAUACGACUACCUGUAAAUAUGGUUAAACUUGGCUAUGUGAUUCAAAGGUUGUGGUUCACCGAGCGAUAAAGAAAAUGAUACAAAGAUGGAAUGAUUGGAUGCAAGUUAUCAGUUACAGUGUUUCAUAUGACAGGUAUUCUGAUUGUGGAAGAUGUGGGCUUGCAAUAUUUUGACAAUUGCAUGGCUGUAAAGUACGAGACAAUUAAUAUAGUACUCCAUUACUCUAAUUGCCAGAACACUGCAUCAGAAUGAGAAGUUGUCUGUUACAGUUAGGUUUAGUAAAAGUAUAGUAAAAGUACAUAGUCAACUAUGUAAAAUGUAAUUUAUUCAGUGUCAAAUAAAUAUUUUGUCAUGGAUAAACUCUGUGC